CACGUAGGGGCGAGCGUUGUUCGGAAUCAUUGGGCGUAAAGGGCGUGCAGGCGGCCCUGCAAGUCCGGCGUGAAAUGUCCCGGCUCAACCGGGGAGACGCGCUGGAAACUGUGGGGCUUGAGUACAGGAGGGGAUGCCGGAAUUCCAGGUGUAGGGGUGAAAUCUGUAGAUAUCUGGAGGAACACCAAUGGCGAAGGCAGGCAUCUGGCCAUGUACUGACGCUGAGACGCGAAGGUGCGGGGAGCAAACAGGUUUAGAUACCCUGGUA
rnacentral:rRNA from 1 species